GAGGUUGUGGCUCAGAAGUAGAGCGCUCACCUAGCAUGUGUGAGACACUGGGUUCAAUCCUCAGCACCACA
rnacentral:tRNA from 1 species